GGAUGCGUCUGAUUAGCUUGCCGGCGGGGUAACGGCCCACCGGGGCGACGAUCAGUAGGGGUUCUGAGAGGAAGGUCCCCCACAUUGGAACUGAGACACGGUCCAAACUCCUACGGGAGGCAGCAGUGAGGAAUAUUGGUCAAUGGGCGCGAGCCUGAACCAGCCAAGUAGCGUGCAGGACGACGGCCCUAUGGGUUGUAAACUGCUUUUAUACGGGGAUAAAGUAUGCCACGUGUGGUUUAUUGCAGGUACCGUAUGAAUAAGGACCGGCUAAUUCCGUGCCAGCAGCCGCGGUAAUACGGAAGGUCCGGGCGUUAUCCGGAUUUAUUGGGUUUAAAGGGAGCGUAGGCCGGGUUUUAAGCGUGCCGUGAAAUGUCGGGGCUCAACCUUGACACUGCGGCGCGAACUGGAGUCCUUGAGUGCGCGGAACGUAUGCGGAAUUCGUGGUGUAGCGGUGAAAUGCUUAGAUAUCACGAAGAACCCCGAUUGCGAAGGCAGCAUACGGCAGCGCUACUGACGCUGAAGCUCGAAGGCGCGGGUAUCGAACAGGAUUAGAUACCCUGGUAGUCCGCGCGGUAAACGAUGGAUGCCCGCUGUU
rnacentral:rRNA from 1 species